AUGUUGCUCAGAGAGGAGGGACUCAGAGUUCACAGAUCUGCCAUGAUCUCAUCGUGUCUGAAAGAGACUGUGGAUGAAACGAUUCAGUCUGACUCUUCUCACAGUGAACACGUGAACAAUGGAUCUUCAUUCAGUUAUUCUGUUCUGUGCUUCAGCUGCUGCUGUCUUUGGAAAUACCAUCAAAUCAGACAAAACAGAUGUUGGUGCUGAUGAGGGACAAAAUGUAAAGUUGUCCUGUAGUUAUUCCUCCACUGGGGUUACAGAGUAUCUCUUCUGGUACCGUCAGAAUGGAAGAUCGUCAAAUCCUGAAUUUCUUGUAUCAACCCACAGUGCUGCAAAAGAAGCUCAGGUGUCUGGUGUAGAUUCAAGACUCUCUGUUGAAGUAACAAAAAAGGAACAAAUCCAUGUGUAUCUGGAGAUCUCCUCUGCUGAAGUGUCAGACUCUGCUGUGUAUUACUGUGCUCUGCAGCCCACAGUCACAGGAAACACAGAAACACAGUACAAAAACCUUUCCUUAUUCAAUCCAUCCAAGGGAAGGCAGUGCAGAGGUGGAGCGCCCUCUCGUGGCACUCGAGGGCAAUCCAGCCGAACAUCGUCACAUAACCCCCCCUUUAACGAGCGGCUUCCAGACGCUCCAAAGAAGAUCCAGGCGGGGGGCAGAGCGAAGACGAUCCUGGGGGAGGGACGGAGGGCCAGGCCCAUGCAGGGGAACGGGACCAGGAAGUAG